CAUGAGAUAGGCAGGGAGCGGCAUUGCACAUGGUGUAGGCAAGGUUGGGGUGCCUCCUGUUGGUUUAUGUUCUGUGAAGAUAUUUAAAUCAGAAAUAGCAUAAUUUGUGAAUGGUGAAGUCUUUGUGGUAAUCUUCUGUACAAUGUGUAGUACAACACACAGGUUAUGGAAGCCUAUGGCUUCAGAAGGUCGCACUUCUGCAGAAGAUUUUGUUAACAACAUAUCAGAAAUCAGAGUCAGAGCAGGUGUUCUCAUCAUGGAUUUAGUAAAGAAAAAAAGUAUGUGUAUCUAUAUACUGUAUGAACUUUUUAUUCCAGAUUUGGGUUGUUGUAUGUUCUUUCUCGUACGUAUGCUCUGAAACGCCAUAAAUACAGUAUGUAAAUCUAGUUGCAGAAGCAUAAAUGUAUUGCAAUGAUUGUGUAAAUCCUCAAGAAUGUUUUCAAGCAACAGAAAUAUGUUCCUUAUCUGCUGUCCUAAGUACAGUUAAUCCAGUUUAUUCAAAAAAAUACGGGGGCGGGGGGGACACUUGGGAGUGAGCUAAAAGGGGAAAAAACAAAACUUUGACAUCAUUCCCUGCUCUCCCUGCUAUGCUGCAUGUUCAUACUAAACUACAUCAAGUUUUUUUAUGAGUUAUUUUAUGGUUUACAGUAUAUUUAUAAUUUGUACCAAAAAUGUAUCCUAAAGAAUAACACAAGAUUAUACACACAUACACACUCACUUCAUACUGCGCAUGAUCACUCUUGUAAUCUUAAACGUUUAAUCAUAAUAGUUUCUUGUUUAUGUAUUGAUCAUUAGGUAACAAAUAUUUUAUUAAAUUAUGUAAAAAUAAAAAAUUAGACAUGGCCGUCAA